UUCUUCCACUUCAACUUCCAACCGCCAUUCUUGACUUGUUAGUUCAAGAUCUCUGUGUGAGACCGGAGAGAUAGCAAUUUGGAAGCGAAAUCCAUCUAAUUUGAUCUGAUUUCGACACCCUGUUGGGAAGCAGACAGGGUAACCAACGGAAUCUGCGAACUGCAAAAGGAGCCUUCCAAAUCCAAGCAGAUCAAAUCUUCAAAUGUUCUUGACUGAGAACUUGUGGUGGUAACAUUCUGUUUCAAUUCAAUGUCGAAAGGGUUUGAUCAGCUACGAUGUACUUACUAGUACUAGUACUAGUUCGCUGAUACAGCCCUAAACGGUAAAGAAAGAUUCGGUUCUUCUUCGAUCAAUUUGUUUUCCUGUGUCUUGGAUACCGAAACCGAGCAAAAGCAAGUUGAAUGAGCAAAUUUGAAAUUAGUUGGCGGUCAACAACCCAAUGAAGAUCGAGUCUCCACGAUACGGAAGGAAGAAAUGGGCAAAUACCGUCGUCAUUAUCUGAUACAUCAUCCAUCUUUCGGCGAAGGGCCCCCGAGGACUCAUUGAGGGCCCACAAAGGGCCAUCAACGAGCAUUGUUUUGGUGUCUUUGGCUCGGACUCGAAAGAAAAAAGAAGGCGAUUCUUCGUCACCGAGUAUGUUCAGUUCAUACUCGACCAAAUCCGGAUUACUAUGGCCCAUUCAUCCAUCAUGUGGAAUACUCCAUUAUAUGUUUCGGCUCGGUCUUCCAUUGAAACACGAUCCAAAUCAACGUCUGGACGAGGCAGGGCCCACUCAUAAUCGAGUUGAAUUUUUAACUGUAAAUGUUAUUGGACUCGAAAAAGCGUGACUAAAUCGGGGGCUUCGUCCAUUCCAAGAAGAUCGAGCAAAGGCCAAAGAUUUGGAAGUGACUCAACCUGGGCGGGCCUUUUCCAUCCCCUUGUUUCUCAUAAGCGAUGAUGGCAAUCAACCAAUCAUCGCCAUCCCCGCUGGUUUGAUUCGGAGUUCCUUCAUUGGUUCAACUGAUGUACUUGGUAUCAAGUUUGUUCAUACCUAGUACUGUCACAACAGGACCAGCACC